GAUGAACGCUGGCGGCGUGCCUAAUACAUGCAAGUCGAGCGAACAGACGAGGAGCUUGCUCCUCUGACGUUAGCGGCGGACGGGUGAGUAACACGUGGAUAACCUACCUAUAAGACUGGGAUAACUUCGGGAAACCGGAGCUAAUACCGGAUAAUAUAUUGAACCGCAUGGUUCAAUAGUGAAAGACGGUUUUGCUGUCACUUAUAGAUGGAUCCGCGCCCCAUUAGCUAGUUGGUAAGGUAACGGCUUACCAAGGCAACGAUGCGUAGCCGACCUGAGAGGGUGAUCGGCCACACUGGAACUGAGACACGGUCCAGACUCCUACGGGAGGCAGCAGUAGGGAAUCUUCCGCAAAGGGCGAAAGCUUGACGGAGCAACGCCGCGUGAGUGAUGAAGGUCUUCGGAUCGUAAAACUCUGUUAUUAGGGAAGAACAAAUGUGUAAGUAACUAUGCACGUCUUGACGGUACCUAAUCAGAAAGCCACGGCUAACUACGUG
rnacentral:rRNA from 1 species